GCCCGAAUAGCACAGUUGGUAGAGCGUGCGGCUUUUAACCGCAAGGUCCUGGGUUCGAGCCCCAGUUCGGGCG